UACGUAGGGAGCAAGCGUUAUCCGGAUUUAUUGGGUGUAAAGGGUGUGUAGGCGGCUCGGCAAGUCAGAUGUGAAAAUUAUGGGCUCAACCCAUAACCUGCAUUUGAAACUGUCGGACUUGAGUGAAGUAGAGGCAAGCGGAAUUCCCUGUGUAGCGGUGAAAUGCGUAGAGAUAGGGAGGAACACCAGUGGCGAAGGCGGCUUGCUGGGCUUUAACUGACGCUGAAACACGAAAGCGUGGGUAGCAAAC
rnacentral:rRNA from 1 species